rnacentral:rRNA from 1 species
UACGUAGGGUGCAAGCGUUGUCCGGAAUUAUUGGGCGUAAAGAGCUCGUAGGCGGUCUGUCGCGUCGGCUGUGAAAACCCGGAGCUCAACCCCGGGCCUGCAGUCGAUACGGGCAGACUGGAGUACUGCAGGGGAGACUGGAAUUCCUGGUGUAGCGGUGAAAUGCGCAGAUAUCAGGAGGAACACCGGUGGCGAAGGCAGGUCUCUGGGCAUUAACUGACGCUGAGGAGCGAAAGCGUGGGGAGCGAACAGG